CAGCCGCCGCGGUAAUACGUAGGGUGCGAGCGUUAAUCGGAAUUACUGGGCGUAAAGCGUGCGCAGGCGGUUGCGUAAGACAGGUGUGAAAUCCCCGGGCUUAACCUGGGAACUGCGCUUGUGACUGCACAGCUAGAGUAUGGCAGAGGGGGGUGGAAUUCCACGUGUAGCAGUGAAAUGCGUAGAGAUGCGGAGGAACACCGAUGGCGAAAGCGGCUCACUGGACCAUUUCUGACGCUGAUGCACGAAAGCUAGGGGAGCAAACAGGAUUAGAUACCCGCGUAGUCCCUGUCUCUUAUAC
rnacentral:rRNA from 1 species